UACGAGACCUACUCGCCUGCUUGAUCUUUAAGGAGUAAAGUCGUAACAAGGUUUCCGUAGGUGAACCUGCGGAAGGAUCAUU
rnacentral:rRNA from 1 species